rnacentral:rRNA from 1 species
UACGUAGGGGGCAAGCGUUGUCCGGAUUUACUGGGCGUAAAGCGCGUGUAGGCGGCCAGAAAAGUCCGCUGUGAAAACUCGAGGCUCAACUUCGAGCUGUCGGUGGAAACUUUCUGGCUAGAGUCCGGAAGAGGAGAAUGGAAUUCCUGGUGUAGCGGUGAAAUGCGCAGAUAUCAGGAAGAACACCCGUGGCGAAGGCGGUUCUCUGGGACGGUACUGACGCUGAGACGCGAAAGCGUGGGGAGCGAACAGG